rnacentral:rRNA from 1 species
AUUGAACGCUGGCGGCAUGCUUUACACAUGCAAGUCGAACGGUAACAGGCCGCAAGGUGCUGACGAGUGGCGAACGGGUGAGUAAUGCAUCGGAACGUGCCCAGUCGUGGGGGAUAACUACUCGAAAGAGUAGCUAAUAUCGCAUACGAUCUAUGGAUGAAAGCGGGGGACCGUAAGGCCUCGCGCGAUUGGAGCGGCCGAUGUCAGAUUAGGUAGUUGGUGGGGUAAAGGCUCACCAAGCCAACGAUCUGUAGCUGGUCUGAGAGGACGACCAGCCACACUGGGACUGAGACACGGCCCAGACUCCUACGGGAGGCAGCAGUGGGGAAUUUUGGACAAUGGGCGCAAGCCUGAUCCAGCAAUGCCGCGUGCAGGAAGAAGGCCUUCGGGUUGUAAACUGCUUUUGUACGGAACGAAACGGCUCUGGUUAAUACCCGGGGCUAAUGACGGUACCGUAAGAAUAAGCACCGGCUAACUACGUG